GUCUAUGGCCAUACCACUCUGAAUGUACUCAAUCUUAUCUGAUCUAGGAAGCUAAGCAGGGUCAGACUUGGUAUGGGAGACCACCUGGUGGUAGUGGGUGCUGUGUACG
ensembl:rRNA 5S_rRNA 5S ribosomal RNA